rnacentral:lncRNA from 1 species
AUUAAGGGUGUGCUCCAAAACAAACAACAAUAAUUAAAUAUUACAAAAUGAAGAAUAACUUCAGGUAUACGUUGAUAAUUUUAAUCAUCUAUUUAUUAGUUAUUUUGUGUCUUGGUUGUAGUUAACAUUUAUUUAUUUAUAACUUUAGGUAUACGUUGAUAAUUUUAAUAAUCUAUUUAUUAGUUAUUUUGUGUCUUGGUUGUAGUGAACAUUUAUUUAUUUAUUUAUUUAUUUAUUUAUUUAUUUAUUUAUUUAUUUAUUAUACAGCAUUCUGCCUGCAUAUAUGCCUGUAGGCCAGAAGAGGGCACCACACCUCAUUACAGAUGGUUGUGAACCACCAUGUGGUUGCUGUGAAUUGAACUCAGGACUUCUGGAAAAGUAGGCUAUGUUCUUCAUCACUUAGCCAUCUCUCCAGCUCUAUAGUGAAGAGUUUUGAAGACAAAUAGCUCUUUUGAGAAUACAUCUAAAAUUAAUAUUUUGGUCUAUUAUCCUAACAUUGACUUACAUAUCAAUGAAGAAUAUUUUUAUAUAAUCACAUUUAUUUUGUUUAGUUUAUUAUGUUGUUGUUAAUAAAACAUAG